rnacentral:rRNA from 1 species
GAUGAACGCUGGCGGCGUGGAUAAGGCAUGCAAGUCGAACGAACCUUGUAAAACUGACCUCUUCGGAGUGAUUUUUUACGCUGGUUAGUGGCGAACGGGGUAGUAAUGCAUAGGAACGUACCAAGAAGUCAGGAAUAACUGCGAGAAAUCGUAGCUAAUACCUGAUAGUCCCUCCGGGGUAAAGAUUUAUCGCUUCUUGAUCGGCCUAUGUGGUAUCAGCUUGUUGGUAGUGUAAAGGACUACCAAGGCUAUGACGCCUAGGGGAGGUGAGAGCCUGACCCCCACCAUUGGAACUGCGACACGGUCCAAACUCCUACGGGAGGCUGCAGUCGAGAAUCUUCCACAAUGAACGAAAGUUUGAUGGAGCGACGCCGCGUGAUUGAUGAAGCCCUUAGGGGUGUAAAGAUCUUUUGUGAGGGAAGAAAUUAUUGACAUUACCUCAAGAAUAAGGGGCUCCUAAUCUCG